rnacentral:rRNA from 1 species
CAGUCGCCGCGGUAAUACGUAGGUGGCAAGCGUUGUCCGGAAUGAUUGGGCGUAAAGGGCGCGCAGGCGGCUGUGUAAGUCUGUCUAGAAAGUGCGGGGCUAAACCCCGUGAGAGGAUGGAAACUGGACAGCUGAGAGUGUCGGAGAGGAAAGCGGAAUUCCUAGUGUAGCGGUGAAAUGCGUAGAUAUUAGGAGGAACACCGGUGGCGAAAGCGGCUUUCUGGACGACAACUGACGCUGAGGCGCGAAAGCCAGGGGAGCAAACGGGAUUAGAUACCCCGGUAGUCCCUGUCUCUUAUAC